rnacentral:rRNA from 1 species
UUGGAGGGCAAGUCUGGUGCCAGCAGCCGCGGUAAUUCCAGCUCCAAUAGCGUAUAUUAAAGUUGUUGCAGUUAAAAAGCUCGUAGUUGAAUUUCGAGACCGGCUUACUGGUCGUGCUAUUGUACGUACUGGUAUAAUCGGUUUCUCCUUUCUGACGAACUAUAAUGCCAUUAAUUUGGUGUUAUAGGGAAUCAGGACUGUUACUUUGAAAAAUUAGAGUGUUUAAAGCAGGCUCACGCUUGAAUACAUUAGCAUGGAAUAACGGAAUAGGACGUUUGAUUCUAUUUUGUUGGUUUCUAGGAUCGACGUAAUGAUUAAUAGGGAUAGUUGGGGGCAUUAGUAUUCAAUUGUCAGAGGUGAAAUUCUUGGAUUUAUUGAAGACUAACUACUGCGAAAGCAUUUGCCAAGGAUGUUUUCAUUAAUCAAGAACGAAAGUUAGGGGAUCGAAGACGAUCAGAUACCGUCGUAGUCUUAACCAUAAACUAUGCCGACUAGGGAUCGGAUGAUGUUAAUUUUUAAUGACUCAUUCGGCGCCUUACGGGAAAC